UACGAGGGGUCCUAGCGUUGUUCGGAAUCAUUGGGCGUAAAGAGCUCGUAGGUGGCUUAGUAAGUCAGGUGUGAAAGCCCAAGGCUCAACCUUGGAAGUGCACUUGAAACUGCAUAGCUUGAGUACGGUAGAGGUAAGCGGAAUUCCUGGUGUAGUGGUGAAAUACGUAGAUAUCAGGAGGAACAUCGGUGGCGAAGGCGGCUUACUGGACCAGUACUGACACUGAGGAGCGAAAGCAUGGGGAUCAAACAGG
rnacentral:ncRNA from 2 species